AACGAACGCUGGCGGCAUGCCUAACACAUGCAAGUCGAACGAAGCCUUCGGGCUUAGUGGCGCACGGGUGCGUAACGCGUGGGAAUCUGCCCUUAGGUACGGAAUAACUCAUGGAAACGUGUGCUAAUACCGUAUGAUGUCUUCGGACCAAAGAUUUAUCGCCUAGGGAUGAGCCCGCGUUGGAUUAGCUAGUUGGUGAGGUAAAGGCUCACCAAGGCGACGAUCCAUAGCUGGUCUGAGAGGAUGAUCAGCCACACUGGGACUGAGACACGGCCCAGACUCCUACGGGAGGCAGCAGUGGGGAAUAUUGGACAAUGGGCGAAAGCCUGAUCCAGCAAUGCCGCGUGAGUGAAGAAGGCCU
rnacentral:rRNA from 1 species